UACGUAGGUCCCGAGCGUUGUCCGGAUUUAUUGGGCGUAAAGCGAGCGCAGGUGGUUUAAUAAGUCUGAUGUAAAAGGCAGUGGCUCAACCAUUGUGUGCAUUGGAAACUGUUAGACUUGAGUGCAGUAGAGGAGAGUGGAAUUCCAUGCGUAGCGGUGAAAUGCGUAGAUAUAUGGAGGAACACCGGUGGCGAAAGCGGCUCUCUGGACUGUAACUGACACUGAGGCUCGAAAGCGUGGGUAGCAAACAGG
rnacentral:rRNA from 1 species